AUUGAACGCUGGCGGCAGGCCUAACACAUGCAAGUCGAACGGUAACAGGAAGACGCUUGCUUCUUUGCUGACGAGUGGCGGACGGGUGAGUAAUGUCUGGGAAGCUGCCUGAUGGAGGGGGAUAACUACUGGAAACGGUAGCUAAUACCGCAUAACGUCGCAAGACCAAAGAGGGGGACCUUCGGGCCUCUUGCCAUCGGAUGUGCCCAGAUGGGAUUAGCUAGUAGGUGGGGUAACGGCUCACCUAGGCGACGAUCCCUAGCUGGUCUGAGAAGAUGACCAGCCACACUGGAACUGAGACACGGUCCAGACUCCUACGGGAGGCAGCAGUGGGGAAUAUUGCACAAUGGGCGCAAGCCUGAUGCAGCCAUGCCGCGUGUAUGAAGAAGGCCUUCGGGUUGUAAAGUACUUUCAGCGGGGAGGAAGGGAGUAAAGUUAAUACCUUUGCUCAUUGACGUUACCCGCAGAAGAAGCACCGGCUAACUCCGUG
rnacentral:rRNA from 1 species